UGCGGUGGAUCACUCGGCUCGUGUGUCGAUGAAGAGCGCAGCCAACUGUGUGAAUUAAUGCGAACUGCAUACUGCUUUGAGCAUCGACAUCUUGAACGCAUAUUGCGGCCACGGGUUAACCUGUGGCCACGCCUGUCCGAGGGUCGGCUUAUAAACUAUCACGACGCCCAACAAGUCGUGGCUUGGGUUUUGCCAGCUGGCGUGAUUUCCCCAUCAACUUGGCCUUUGUGUCAGGUCGGGGUGCCAGAUCUAUGGCGUUUCCCUAAUGUAACCGGGCACACCUGCAUCUUCGCAAUUGGCUUGGAUGAGGACGUGGCGACGGAGUCGUGGCUCAGUGAAUUACAAGCGCGCUCCGAUUCGUGGUCCGUUCCUUGCUAGGUGCUGUGUUGACCGACGUUUUGCGAAUGCGCAAUAUUGGUGCAAGCAUUCAUUUCCUGACCUCGGAUCAGACGUGAUUACCCGCUGAACUUAAGCAUAUCACUAAGCGGAGGAAAAGAAACUAACAAGGAUUCCCUCAGUAACGGCGAGUGAACAGGGAAGAGCCCAGCACCGAAGCCUGUGGCCGUUUGGUUACUAGGCAAUGUGGUGUUUAGGUUUUUCCAUUGAGACACUGCUCCAUUCUAAGUCCAUCAUUGAGUACGGUAGUACGGACAUGGCCCAUUGAGGGUGAAAGGCCCGUUUGAGUGGAGGUUUUGUAUACCAGUGUCUCUCUGGAUUGACCUUGGAGUCGGGUUGUUUGUGAAUGCAGCCCAAAGUGGGUGGUAAACUCCAUCCAAGGCUAAAUACAAGCACGAGUCCGAUAGCGAACAAGUACCGUGAGGGAAAGUUGAAAAGUACUUUGAAGAGAGAGUAAACAGUGCGUGAAACCGCUCAGAGGUAAACAGAUGGGGUUGAACUGCAUGCUUUGAGAAUUCAGCUGGUGAGCUUAUGUUGAGCUUGGUCAAAUUUGUCGAGCCCUGAGGUAUGCUUAGCUGCAUGUCUCCGCCUUCGGGUGGUUGAUGCGCGUCGCACUUAUCAAGUGCUGUGCGCCUUGGGUGUUCUUCGGACUUGCUUGCCAGUGCACUUUCUCAGAGUGGUCACCACGACCGGCGCCGCUGUCUGGCUGUUGUAGUUAAACCGGUCUUACAUUGUCCUUGUGGCUUUGUUUGGUCGGGAUGGCAGGUGGCUCGCUUGCUUGCUUUGCUUGCUCGCGGGUGUAAUCAGCUGACUAUGAUGGUUCUGUGCAGUGCGUCGGAGACGGCGGCUUGUGGUGUGUGCAUUCGUGCCUGAUCUGCUGGCGUGUCCUGGUUUGGUUACUAUGUUGCCUGUUCAAGCAGGCCUAGUGGUGGCUGGGAUUCGUUUGGCGGGUGGUUGCGUUUGUGGCACUAUUCCAAGGGCCAAUAGUCUGUGGUGUUGUGGUAGACUACCCAUCUGACCCGUCUUGAAACACGGACCAAGGAGAGUAACAUGUGCGCGAGUCAUUGGGCGAAACGAAACCCACAGGCGCAGUGAAAGUAAAGGCUUGGCUUGUCCAGGCUUAGGUGAGAUCCUGUCGUUUCUCACGCGUGGUUCCACCAAGCAUCGAACGAUAGGCGCAUCACCGGCCCGUCCCAUGACGUAGACAUGGUCUUCGGACUGUGCAUCGUCGGGGCGGGGCAUGAGCGUACAUGUUGAGACCCGAAAGAUGGUGAACUAUGCUUGCGCAGGUUGAAGCCAGAGGAAACUCUGGUGGAGGACCGUAGCGAUUCUGACGUGCAAAUCGAUCGUCAAACGUGAGUAUAGGGGCGA
rnacentral:rRNA from 1 species